rnacentral:misc_RNA from 1 species
GGGCACCAUUGCACUUAGCUCCACAGAGGGGGAACGUGUUAAUCCUAGAAACACGACCAGAUCUUUGCGUAUAAUUCGUACAAAAGACUGGGUUGUUGAUACCUCGUCGCAUGUUGAUAAGCUGUUAUGUGCAACUUAUCCCCAUCUUUGCUUGCAUCCAAGCAGAAAAGUGAGACGAGGACUCCUGGUGGCAAUACAGGGACUCUUAUCAAAAAGC